rnacentral:rRNA from 1 species
UAUCAGUAAGCGGAGGAAAGAAACCAACAGGGAUUCCCAUAGUAACUGCGAGUGAAGUGGGAUCAGCCCAGCACCAAGGUCAUCGGUCCUGUGGCCGACUGAACGAUGCGGUGUUUGACAUGCCUAUUGUGCGGUGGACGGAGCGACAAAGUUCCCUUGACAGGGCUCGUGCCCCAUAGCGGGUGUGAGGCCUUUAGUUGCUCGUGAGCUGCCGUAUCUCGGGUAUGUCUAGAGUCGGGUUGUUUGGGAGUACAGCCCAAAGUAGGUGGUAAACUCCAUCUAAGGCUAAAUACGGGCACGAGUCCGAUAGCGAACAAGUACCGUGAGGGAAAGUUGAAAAGUACUUUGAAGAGAGAGUUCAAGAGCACGUGAAACUGCCUAGAGGUAAGCGGAUAGGGCCACAUGAGCCAGCUGGUCGGAUUCAGUUACGCCUGCUUGGCAUGAGUCGGCGCGCAGAUACUGCCGGGUUCAUCCUCGGUAUACUGUGGUGCUGGCCUUGCUGGGUCGUUGUAGCGUACUUUCGACUAGCGUAUGGUAGCCGCGAUCAAUUGGUCGAAGUGCCAAGUGUGCGAGGAGGUAGCCACGGGUGCUCCUUGUGGGCGCUGCUAACGUUGGUGACGACUCGUGCAUAGGACCAACUUCGGUCGAUUGUGGAGCGCUGCUGUGCACGCAUCACUCGAGGGUGCUUGCUGCUCCGUUGCGCUUGGUCUCGCUGUGCUGGACUGCAAAGCAGUGCUGUGUGACGAGGCUGGGUUGCGUGCGGGGUGUGUUAGCGAACGCGAGGUGCACGGCUGGUCAGCGGCUUGCUGGUCGCCUAUCCGU